rnacentral:lncRNA from 1 species
GGAUGAUCUGCUGCUCAUCGUUCUGUGGGCUGGAUGGAGCAUACUUGUGCUUCAUGUGGAAUGAUAUGAAUGGCUGUAUGCAUGCUGUGGAAAGCAUGAGCACUCUGCAUGAAUAAUUGUUCCUAAACAGUAUGCUGGAUAUAGCCUGGGAUAAGAGUGAACUCACUUCGUGCUUACCUGCAGAUCAAAGUUGCACUGGAAGGAA